AGGAUGAACGCUGGCGGCGUGCCUAAAACAUGCAAGUCAUACGGGCUACCUUCGGGUAGCCAGUGGCAAACGGGUGAGUAACACGUGGGAACGCGCCUUGGGGUGGGGAAUAACGCUGAGAAAUCAGUGCUAAUACCGCAUAUGGUCUAACGACUAAAGCAGCAAUGCGCCCCGAGAGCGGCCCGCGACCGAUUAGCUAGUUGGUGGGGUAAUGGCCUACCAAGGCGGUGAUCGGUAGCUGGUCUGAGAGGAUGGUCAGCCACACUGGGACUGCGAACGGCCCAGACUCCUACGGGAGGCAGCAGUUAGGAAUUUUCGGCAAUGGACGAAAGUCUGACCGAGCGACGCCGCGUGGAGGAUGACGCCUUUCGGGGUGUAAACUCCUUUCUGCGGGAAGAUAAUGACGGUACCGCAGGAAUAAGCACCGGCUAACUACGUGCCAGCAGCCGC
rnacentral:rRNA from 1 species